UCGGGAAUUUUGGGCAAUGGGCGAAAGCCUGACCCAGCAACGCCGCGUGAAGGAUGAAAUCCCUCGGGAUGUAAACUUCGCAAGAAUGGGAAGAAUAAGUGCGAGCUAAUAUCUCGCAUGAUGACGGUACUAUUUGUAAGCUCCGGCUAACUCCGUGCCAGCAGCCGCGGUAAUACGGGGGGAGCAAGCGUUGUUCGGAUUUACUGGGCGUAAAGGGCGCGUAGGCGGCGUGACUAGUCACUUGUGAAAUCUCCGGGCUUAACUCGGAACGGUCAAGUGAUACUGUCGUGCUAGAGUACAGAAGGGGCAACUGGAAUUCUCGGUGUAGCGGUGAAAUGCGUAGAUAUCGAGAGGAACACCUGCGGCGAAGGCGGGUUGCUGGGCUGAUACUGACGCUGAUGCGCGAAAGCCAGGGGAGCGAACGGGAUUAGAUACCCCCGUAGUCC
rnacentral:rRNA from 1 species